UGCCUCUUGCAGCUUUGCAGGAAGACCAGAGGGGCUGCACCUGGACCUGGGGAUUCCACCUAGGGCAGUAACAACCUUCCUGGGUAUCCUGAGCACGAGGAGACAAAUUUGCAGGGACAGCUGGAGGAGCACAUGGGAUGGUGUGCAGCACAGAGGAGGGAGCCGACAUGAGAAAAGCACCAAGAACAAUGUGAGCAUGACCCAGGACUGCCCACCUCCAGGCUCCUUGCAGCAACAUGCUGCUCCUUCCAGGUGGAGCCACAGCAAGACAACUGUGGGAACACAAUCUCAGACUUCAGCAUCCUCUGUUCCCAACCACUUUGCUACCCAACCUCCGAUGUCCGUUAAGCUCUCCUUUCCUAUGGUGAGUUCUCUGCAGAAAACAGCAAUGAGAGAGAGGGA
rnacentral:lncRNA from 1 species